rnacentral:rRNA from 1 species
GGAAUAUUGCACAAUGGGGGCAACCCUGAACGAGCAGUGCCGCGUGAGCGAAGAAGGUCUUCGGAUUGUAAAGCUCUGUUGCCGGGGAAAAAGGAAGGAAAGAGGAAAUGCUUUUCUUUGGAUGGUACCCGGCCAGAAAGUCACGGCUAACUACGUGCCAGCAGCCGCGGUAAUACGUAGGUGGCAAGCGUUAUCCGGAAUGAUUGGGCGUAAAGGGUGAGCAGGCGGUUCUUCAAGUCAUGAGUGAAAGGCAGAAGCUUAACUUCUGUUGGCUGAUGAGACUGGAGAACUUGAGUACAGGAGAGGGCGGCGGAACUCCAUGUGUAGCGGUAAAAUGCGUAGAGAUAUGGAAGAACACCAGUGGCGAAGGCGGCCGCCUGGACUGAAACUGACGCUCAGGCACGAAAGCGUGGGGAGCAAAUA